rnacentral:snoRNA from 1 species
GCGCAGGCUUUCCGCACGCCGGCAGCAGUCCCCCACUGCCAGGGCGUGUUUUUAACACUGCGCACAGCAAAUGCAAAGGGGCACGGGAGCCCCGGCCCGGCGGCGGGCGGCGUGCUGCAUGUCUGGGGCGUGUCAAUACACACACGCCCCCGCAAUGCGCCGCGCGUCGCCCCCACAGCG